CCUACGGGGGGCAGCAGUGAGGAAUAUUGGUCAAUGGUCGGGAGACUGAACCAGCCAAGCCGCGUGAGGGAUGAAGGUACAGAGUAUCGUAAACCUCUUUUGUCAGGGAACAAAGGCGGGGACGUGUCCCCGGAGGAGUGUACCUGAAGAAAAAGCAUCGGCUAACUCCGUGCCAGCAGCCGCGGUAAUACUGAGGAUGCGAGCGUUAUCCGGAUUUAUUGGGUUUAAAGGGUGCGCAGGCGGUCUGUUAAGUCAGCGGUCAAAGCCCGGGGCUCAACCCCGGCCCGCCGUUGAAACUGGCAGUCUCGAGUUGGAGAGAAGUAUGCGGAAUGCGCGGUGUAGCGGUGAAAUGCAUAGAUAUCGCGCAGAACUCCGAUUGCGAAGGCAGCAUGCCGGCUCCACACUGACGCUGAGGCACGAAAGCGUGGGUAUCGAACAGGAUUAGAUACCCCAGUAGUC
rnacentral:rRNA from 1 species